rnacentral:SRP_RNA from 1 species
GCUGGGCAUGGUGGCGGGUGCCUGUAAUCCCAGCUACUCAGGAGGCUGAGGCAGGAGAAUCACUUGAACCCAGGAGAUGGAGGUUGCAGUGAGCCAAGAUCGUGCCACUGCACUCCAGCCUGGGUGACAGAGUGAGAUUCCAUCUCAA